rnacentral:lncRNA from 10 species
GACACUCCACUAGUCAGGGAAAUGAGGUGGAACCAGCAAAGAAGACAGAAACAACAGCCACAGAGCUAAAAAGGAGAAGCAAGUGAGUCUCCAAAACUAAGUGAAAAAGAUGUGUUUUGAAGAAAAGGGAGUGAGCAACUGUGUUGAGUGCUGAAGACAGGUCAAGUAUAAAGAGGGCUGAGAUUGGACCACUGGAUUUGGCAGCAUGGAGGUACCUGAUGCCACCAAUUCCUGAGUUUUUCUGCUGUUCAGUGGAGUGGACUAUCGCCUUCAAAUUAGCCUGGCCCUGGGCAGGAAAUGAAGACCCUGAAUCAGCCCAUCAGAAGCAGGAGAUCCCUUUCGUCGACCUUCUCAUUCCAUCUCUAUGCUGGAGCAUUCUUGUGACCUAACCAUAUUGAAACUGCCUUUGCAAAAUAUGACUGAGACAGUGAAAGAGGGACGCCCAUUGCCAUGGCUUGAGGCCUAGAGAAGAGGCCCAUGAGGCAAGGAACUGAAGUCUUCUUCAGUCUUCCUACAUCCAGCAAGGAACUCAGGUCUUUUCAAUGAGUGCAGUCAGCUACCACUCUUGCCAAGAGCCAUGAGUGUCUGUCAUCUUAGAAGCCAAUCCUCCAUCCCAAUCAAGCCUUCAGAUGACUGCAGGCUUGGCCAACAUCUUGUCUACAACUUCACGAGACACUCUUUCCCUGGGCCAAGCAGAAUCUGUGCACAACCAUGCAUUCUAGAGCUUAGGACAAAGCACAAGUCUACUGUCUAGCAUCUGCCUGUGGCCUAGGCCAUCUCCG